GGUCAAGUGAAUAAGUGCAUACGACGGAUGCCUUGGCAUUAGAAGGCGAUGAAGGACGUGAUAAUCUGCGAUAAGCUUCGGUUAGCUGAUAAUAAGCAUUAUUAGCCGGAGAUCUCCGAAUGGGAAAACCCAGUGGUCAUCAGACCAUUAUCCUUAACUGAAUACAUAGGUUAAGGAGGCAAACCUAGGGAACUGAAACAUCUAAGUACCUAGAGGAAAAGAAAUCAACCGAGAUUCCCUUAGUAGCGGCGAGCGAACGGGGAACAGCCCUUAAGCAUAUUUUUAAUUAGUAGAAUGUUCUGGAAAGUUCAACGAUACAGGGUGAUAGUCCCGUACACGAAAAUUAGAUUUAUGUGAAAUCGAGUAAGGCGGCGCACGUGAAACGCUGUUUGAAUAUGGGGGGACCACCCUCCAAGGCUAAAUACUCUCUAAUGACCGAUAGUGAACAAGUACCGUGAGGGAAAGGCGAAAAGAACCCCGGGAGGGGAGUGAAAUAGAACCUGAAAUCGUAUGCAUACAAGCAGUAGGAGCGGAUUUAUUCCGUGACUGCGUACCUUUUGUAUAAUGGGUCAGCGACUUACUUCUCAGUAGCAAGGUUAACCAUUAGGGGAGCCGUAGGGAAACCGAGUCUUAAAUGGGCGAUUAGUUGCUGGGAGUAGACCCGAAACCGGGUGAUCUAUCCAUGGCCAGGGUGAAGGUUAGGUAAAACUAACUGGAGGUCCGAACCCACUUAUGUUGAAAAAUGAGGGGAUGAGUUGUGGAUAGGGGUGAAAGGCCAAACAAACCCGGAGAUAGCUGGUUCUCUCCGAAAUCUAUUUAGGUAGAGCGUCAUGUAUUACUUCAGGGGGUAGAGCACUGUUAUGGCUAGCGGGUCGUCAAGACUUAGUAAACCAUUGCAAACUCCGAAUACCUGAAAGUAUGAGCAUGGCAGACACACUGCGGGUGCUAACGUCCGUAGUGGAAAGGGAAACAACCCAGACCGUCAGCUAAGGUCCCAAAAUUGUAGUUAAGUGGGAAACGAUGUGAAAAGGCCCAGACAGCCAGGAGGUUGGCUUAGAAGCAGCCAUUCCUUUAAAGAGUGCGUAAUAGCUCACUGGUCGAGUCGGUUUGCGCGGAAGAUUUAACGGGGCUAAAACUACAUACCGAAGCUACGGAUCGCAAUUUAUUGCGAUGGUAGGAGAGCGUUCUGUAAGCCGUUGAAGGUAUUCUGUGAGGAAUGCUGGAGGUAUCAGAAGUGCGAAUGCUGACAUGAGUAACGAUAAAGGGGGUGAAAAACCCCCUCGCCAGAAGUCCAAGGUUUCCUACGCAACGUUAAUCGGCGUAGGGUUAGUCGGCCCCUAAGGCGAGGCAGAAAUGCGUAGUCGAUGGGAAACAGGUUAAUAUUCCUGUACUUCAUAUAACUGCGAUGGGAAGACGGAGAAGGUUAGCUCAGCUUGGCGAUGGUUGUCCAAGUUUAAGCGUGUAGAUUGGCUAUUAGGAAAAUCCGGUAGCCUUUAUUCAAGGCGUGAUAACGAUCCCUCUUUUGGGAGAAGUGAGUGAUACCAUGCUUCCAGGAAAAUCCUCUAAGCUUCAGGUUAUAUGAAACCGUACCCCAAACCGACACAGGUGGACGAGAUGAGAAUUCUAAGGCGCUUGAGAGAACUCGGGUGAAGGAACUAGGCAAAAUGACACCGUAACUUCGGGAGAAGGUGUGCUCUUGCUGGUGAUUUUACUUGCUAAAUGAGCUGGUAAGAGUUGAAGAUACCAGGUGGCUCCGACUGUUUAUUAAAAACACAGCACUCUGCAAACACGUAAGUGGACGUAUAGGGUGUGACGCCUGCCCGGUGCUUGAAGGUUAAUUGAUGAGGUUAGGAUUCGUCCGAAGCUUUUGAUCGAAGCCCAAGUAAACGGCGGCCGUAACUAUAACGGUCCUAAGGUAGCGAAAUUCCUUGUCGGGUAAGUUCCGACCUGCACGAAUGG
rnacentral:rRNA from 1 species